UAGAAAAAGGCAGAUCUUAGAGAGUUAAAGGUUUAGUACCUGCUCUUAACAUGCCAACCAUUAAACAUGCCCAGUGUUCGCAAAGCAUUUCUCCAUUCCUGGACCUUUUGUGGAUUCUCCUGCUUGAAACCCUUUUCGCCCUGGCCAAUAU